rnacentral:rRNA from 1 species
UACGGAGGGGGCUAGCGUUGUUCGGAAUUACUGGGCGUAAAGCGCACGUAGGCGGCUUUGUAAGUCAGAGGUGAAAGCCCGGAGCUUAACUCCGGAAUUGCCUUUGAGACUGCAUCGCUUGAAUCCAGGAGAGGUGAGUGGAAUUCCGAGUGUAGAGGUGAAAUUCGUAGAUAUUCGGAAGAACACCAGUGGCGAAGGCGGCUCACUGGACUGGUAUUGACGCUGAGGUACGAAAGCGUGGGGAGCAAACAGG